GCCCGGUUAGCUCAAUCGGUAGAGCGUGAGACUCUUACGAUGUACUGUGUAAUCUCAAGGCUGCGGGUUCGACCCCCGCAUUGGGCU